rnacentral:rRNA from 1 species
GGUCAAGCGAAUAAGCGCACACGGUGGAUGCCUUGGCGGUCAGAGGCGAUGAAGGACGUGGCAGCCUGCGAAAAGUAUCGGGGAGCUGGCAACAAGCUUUGAUCCGGUAAUGUCCGAAUGGGGAAACCCACCCGCUUGCGGGUAUCCUGCAGUGAAUACAUAGCUGCUGGAAGCGAACCUGGUGAACUGAAAUAUCUAAGUAACCAGAGGAAAAGAAAUCAACCGAGAUUCCGUAAGUAGCGACGAGCGAACGCGGACUAGCCCUUAAGCUGGAUUGGUUCUAGGAAAACGCUCUGGAAAGAGCGGCCAUAGAAGGUGAUAGCCCUGUAUCUGAAAGGGCCAUUCCAGUGAAGACGAGUAGGGCGGGGCACGUGAAACCCUGUCUGAACAUGGGGGGACCAUCCUCCAAGGCUAAAUACUACUGACCGACCGAUAGUGAACCAGUACCGUGAGGGAAAGGCGAAAAGAACCCCGGAGAGGGGAGUGAAAUAGAACCUGAAACCGUGUGCGUACAAGCAGUAGGAGCUCCGCAAGGAGUGACUGCGUACCUUUUGUAUAAUGGGUCAGCGACUUACUGUUCGUGGCAAGCUUAACCGUAUAGGGGAGGCGAAGGGAAACCGAGUCUGAUAAGGGCGCAUAGUCGCGGGCAGUAGACCCGAAACCGGGUGAUCUAGUCAUGCCCAGGGUGAAGGUGCGGUAACACGCACUGGAGGCCCGAACCCACUCCCGUUGCAAAGGUAGGGGAUGAGGUGUGAUUAGGAGUGAAAAGCUAAUCGAACCCGGAGAUAGCUGGUUCUCCUCGAAAGCUAUUUAGGUAGCGCCUCAUAUGUAUCCUCUCGGGGGUAGAGCACUGUUAUGGCUAGGGGGUCAUCGCGACUUACCAAACCAUUGCAAACUCCGAAUACCGAGACGGACUGUAUGGGAGACACACGGCGGGUGCUAACGUCCGUCGUGAAAAGGGAAACAACCCAGACCCACAGCUAAGGUCCCAAAUUCACUGCUAAGUGGAAAACCAUGUGGAAAGGCACAGACAGCCAGGAGGUUGGCUUAGAAGCAGCCACCCUUUAAAGAAAGCGUAAUAGCUCACUGGUCGAGUCGGUCUGCGGGGAAGAUUUAACGGGGCUAAGCAGUGAACCGAAGCUUGGGGUGCAUAACUUUGUUAUGCGCGGUAGAGGAGCGUUCCGUAAGCCGUUGAAGGUGGAUUGAGAAGUCUGCUGGAGGUAUCGGAAGUGCGAAUGCUGACAUGAGUAACGAUAAUGCGGGUGAAAAACCCGCACGCCGAAAGCCCAAGGUUUCCUUGCGCAACGUUAAUCGGCGCAGGGUGAGUCGGCCCCUAAGGCGAGGACGAAAGUCGUAGUCGAUGGGAAGCAGGUUAAUAUUCCUGCACCUCGCGUAAGUGCGAUGGAGGGACGGAGAAGGUUAGGUGUACCAGGCGUUGGUUGUCCUGGGGAAAGGCGGUAGGUUUGGAUCUUUGGCAAAUCCGGGAUCCUUUAAGACCGAGCACCGAGACGAGCCUUUAUGGCGAAGUCACUGAUACCACGCUUCCAGGAAAAGCUCCUAAGCUUCAGCUUACGCAGACCGUACCGUAAACCGACACAGGUGGGUAGGAUGAGAAUUCUCAGGCGCUUGAGAGAACUCGGGUGAAGGAACUAGGCAACAUGGCACCGUAACUUCGGGAGAAGGUGCACCCUUUUUGGUGGCUCGUGCGAGCUAUAGCUGAAGAGGGUCGCAGUAACCAGGCCGCUGCGACUGUUUAUCAAAAACACAGCACUCUGCAAACACGAAAGUGGACGUAUAGGGUGUGACGCCUGCCCGGUGCUGGAAGGUUAAUUGAUGGGGUCAGCCGCAAGGCGAAGCUCUUGAUCGAAGCCCCAGUAAACGGCGGCCGUAACUAUAACGGUCCUAAGGUAGCGAAAUUCCUUGUCGGGUAAGUUCCGACCUGCACGAAUGGCGUAACGACAGCGGCGCUGUCUCCACCCGAGACUCAGUGAAAUUGAAAUCGCUGUGAAGAUGCAGCGUUCCCGUGGCAAGACGGAAAGACCCCGUGAACCUUUACUAUAGCUUUACACUGAACGUUGAGUUCGUCUGUGUAGGAUAGGUGGGAGGCUAUGAAACCAUGGCGCUAGCUGUGGUGGAGCCAUCCUUGAAAUACCACCCUGUCGUGCUUGACGUUCUAACYUGGGCCCAUUAUCUGGGUCGGGGACCGUGUAUGGUGGGUAGUUUGACUGGGGCGGUCUCCUCCUAAAGAGUAACGGAGGAGCUCGAAGGUACGCUCAGCGCGGUCGGACAUCGCGCACUGUGUGCAAAGGCAUAAGCGUGCUUGACUGCAAGAUCGACGGAUCAAGCAGGUAGGAAACUAGGACUUAGUGAUCCGGUGGUUCUGUAUGGAAGGGCCAUCGCUCAACGGAUAAAAGGUACUCCGGGGAUAACAGGCUGAUACCGCCCAAGAGUUCAUAUCGACGGCGGUGUUUGGCACCUCGAUGUCGGCUCAUCACAUCCUGGGGCUGUAGUCGGUCCCAAGGGUAUGGCUGUUCGCCAUUUAAAGUGGUACGCGAGCUGGGUUCAGAACGUCGUGAGACAGUUCGGUCCCUAUCUGCCAUGGGCGUUGGAGAUUUGAGAGGGGCUGCUCCUAGUACGAGAGGACCGGAGUGGACGAACCUCUGGUGUUCCGGUUGUCACGCCAGUGGCAUUGCCGGGUAGCUAUGUUCGGAAGCGAUAACCGCUGAAAGCAUCUAAGCGGGAAGCGCGCCUCAAGAUGAGAUCUCCCGGGGCACAAGCCCCCUGAAGGAACCAUGUAGACUACGUGGUUGAUAGGUCAGGUGUGUAAGUACAGCAAUGUAUUGAGCUAACUGAUACUAAUGAUCCGUGCGGCUUGACCAU